GCAGUGGUGGUUCAGUGGUAGAAUUCUUGCCUUCCAUGCAAGAGACCCAGUGUG
rnacentral:tRNA from 1 species